AACGCUGGGGGUGUGCUUAACAUGUGCAACUCGAGGAUGAUCACCUUCGGGUGUGAUUUAGGGGGGAAAGGGUGAGGAACACGUGCAGAAUCUGCCUUGGCUCUGGGGUAACUCCGGAAAACCGGGUAUAAUACCGGAUGUGAGUCGUGAUCGCGUGAACGGGGCUGGAAAGUUUUUGGGUUGAAGAUGACUUCGCGGCCUAUCAGCUUGUUGGUGAGGUAAUGGCUCACCAAGGCGACGACGGGUAGCCGGCCUGAGAGGGCGACCGGCCCCACUGGGACUGAAACACAGCCCAGACUCCUACGGGAGGCAGCAGUGGGAAAUAUUGGGGAAUGGAGGAAACUCUGACCCAGCGACGCCGCGUGAGGGAUGAAGGCCUUCGGGUUGUAAACCUCUUUCAGUAGGGAAGAAGCGAAAGUGACGGUACCUACAAAAGAAGCACCGGCUAACUAUGUGCCAACAGCCUCGGUAAUACCUAGGGUGCAAGCGUUGUCCGGAAUUAUUGGGCGUUAAAAGCUCGUAGGUGGUUCGAUACGUCGGAUGUGAAAAUCAGGGGCUCAACCCCUGACCUGCAUCCGAUACUGUCGAUCUAUAGUUUGGUAGGGGAGACUGGAAUUCCUGGUGUAACGGUGGAAUGCGCAAAGUUCACGAGGAACACCGAUGGCAAAGGCCGGGUCUCUGGGCCAAUACUGACACUGAGGAGCAGAAAGCGUGGAGGAGCGAACAUGAUUAGAUACCCUGGUACUCCACGCCGCAAACGAGUGGGCGCUAGUUGUGCGAUCUUUCUCGGUUUGAUGCGACGCAGCUAAUACAUUACGCGGCCCCGUCUGGGGAAUCGAUCGCAAGAUUAAAACUCAAAGGAAUUGAC
rnacentral:rRNA from 1 species